CCUACGGGUGGCAGCAGUGAGGAAUAUUGGUCAAUGGCCGGAAGGCUGAACCAGCCAUGCCGCGUGAAGGUCAGUGCCCUAUGGGCGUUAAACUUCUUUUGUGCGGGAGCAAUAAUGGUCACGUGUGGCACGAAGAGAGUACCGUACGAAUAAGCAUCGGCUAACUCCGUGCCAGCAGCCGCGGUAAUACGGGGGAUGCAAGCGUUAUCCGGGUUUUUAGGGUUUAAAGGGUGCGUAGGGUGGGAGGUAAGUCAGCGGUGAAAUGCCCCCGCUCAACGGGGUGAAGUGCCAUUGAUACUGCCGUGCUGGAAUGCGGAUGCGGUGGGAAGAAUGUGUGGUGUAGCGGUGAAAUGCAUAGAUAUCACACAGAACACCGAUUGCGAAGGCAUCUCACGAAUCCGCGAUUGACGCUGAUGCACGAAAGCGUGGGUAUCAAACAGGAUUAGAUACCCUAGUAGUC
rnacentral:rRNA from 1 species